rnacentral:rRNA from 1 species
UACGUAGGGUCCGAGCGUUGUCCGGAAUUACUGGGCGUAAAGGGCUCGUAGGCGGUCUGUCGCGUCGGUAGUGAAAACUCAGGGCUCAACCCUGAGCGUGCUUUCGAUACGGGCAGACUAGAGGUAUGCAGGGGAGAAUGGAAUUCCUGGUGUAGCGGUGGAAUGCGCAGAUAUCAGGAGGAACACCGGUGGCGAAGGCGGUUCUCUGGGCAUUACCUGACGCUGAGGAGCGAAAGCAUGGGGAGCGAACAGGAUUAGAUACCCCCGUA